UACAGAGACAGCAAGCGUUGCUCGGAUUCAUUGGGCGUAAAGGGUCCGCAGGCGGUCGGUUAAGUCGGGUGUGAAAUUUUCGAGCUCAACUCGGAACAGUCAUUCGAAACUAGCCGGCUAGAGGACUGGAGAGGAUACUGGAAUUGCAGGUGUAGCAGUGAAAUGCGUAGAGAUCUGCAAGAACACCGGUGGCGAAGGCGAGUAUCUGGACAGUUCCUGACGCUCAGGGACGAAAGCUAGGGGAG
rnacentral:rRNA from 1 species